GAUCAGCCACACUGGGACUGAGACACGGCCCAGACUCCUACGGGAGGCAGCAGUGGGGAAUCUUAGACAAUGGGCGCAAGCCUGAUCUAGCCAUGCCGCGUGUGUGACGAAGGCCUUAGGGUCGUAAAGCACUUUCGCCUGUGAUGAUAAUGACAGUAGCAGGUAAAGAAACCCCGGCUAACUCCGUGCCAGCAGCCGCGGUAAUACGGAGGGGGUUAGCGUUGUUCGGAAUUACUGGGCGU
rnacentral:rRNA from 13 species